GGAAGGAUCAUUACAGAAUCGUCAACGGGUUGUUGCUGGUCCUCGAACGGGGACAUGUGCACGCUCUGUUUACACAUCCACUCACACCUGUGCACCCUCCGUAGUUCUGUGGUCUGGGGGACCCUGUCUUCCUGCCGUGGUUCUACGUCUUUACACACACACUGUAAUAAAGUCUUAUGGAAUGUAUGCCGCGUCUAACGCAAUACAAUACAACUUUCAGCAACGGAUCUCUUGGCUCUCGCAUCGAUGAAGAACGCAGCGAAAUGCGAUAAGUAAUGUGAAUUGCAGAAUUCAGUGAAUCAUCGAAUCUUUGAACGCACCUUGCGCCCCUUGGCUAUUCCGAGGGGCAUGCCUGUUUGAGUAUCAUGAACACCUCAACUCUCAUGGUUCGCCGUGAUGAGCUUGGACUCUGGGGGUUUUGCUGGCCUGCGGUCGGCUCCCCUCAAAUGAAUCA
rnacentral:misc_RNA from 1 species